rnacentral:lncRNA from 1 species
AUCUUGGUUUCCCAUGGUAACUGCUUUUUAUUAUGACAACUGACAAAGCCCCAGCUUCACAGAGAUGUGAAGUCAUGGAAAGAAUGCAGUGUGAAUUAGUUUUGAAACUGUGAGCUCUCCCAAGUUCGUAGCUUACACAACGCCUGAACAGAUAUUGAGUCUAGCUGCUUCCCUUGAAUCUUGAUGUCUCCCCCAGUGUCUUCAUGACUCCUCUUCAGCAACCUGGGGUGCCUCCAGCAUUUUCUUCCUGCCGGCUCUGAUGCAAACAGCUCUUCCAGGCUCCACGUUACCCCCAUCAGUUCAAUCCUCUGCACUCAUGCAGAACUCAGGGGUAUGAGGGAAACGCCCGAGAGUCAUUUGGCUGUGGGCUGAAACUCUGCUUAAAGACAGAAAGGCCUCUCCUUCCCUGCUCAUCGCUUUAUGGUCAUUUACGCAUUGCCUCGCAUCGCUUAACAACGGGGAGACGGUCUGAGAAACAUGUCAGCAGUGCCAGAGCAGGCCCUGCUCGAGGUCCUGCUGGAGCCCUGUCUCCGGGCCCGGCCGCAGCAGGUGGAAAGGGAGUGGAGUCACUCUUAGCUGAAGCAGGAAGAGAACAACACCACGUGGGUAUUGCUAUCAUCCUCAUUCGGCAGAACCAGGAACGAGCGACAGAGGCUCCGUGUUACUGAAUCUUUGCUACGUGCCGGUCAUCACACUAAGAAAAUAACUUGCAAUAUCUCAUCUAAUCCUGAUGCGACCUGGUGACUUAUAUAUUACUAUCCUUUUACCAAUGAGGAAACUGAGGCUUGGAGAGCUCGAGGAGCAAGUCCAAAGUGGAACAGCCCGCGUGUGUGGAGCUGGGGCUUUGAGGCCAGGCCCGUGUCCUGCGAGGCCUCCCCAGACCCCGGACACAACACGAGUCGCAGAUGCUCAUGGUCCUCCGUGCAAACCCUGGGAGGAGAAGGUGACCACGGAUAGGACUCGUGUGCCACCUGAACAGUUGUUCCCAAAUUCCUCCUGUCUCUCUCCCUGGCUGUGUAGUCCCCACCUUUCAUGUUAGGUGUAGGAUCCCUCACUUUCUACGACCUCAGAACCUCCUGAAAAUGAAAAUGAUAAACCAACAAGCUUACC